rnacentral:misc_RNA from 1 species
UGGCUUCUCAAAUUUCAGAUAAAAAGAGAACAAAGAAAACAAAGAAACGAAGCAGAGUUGAAUCAGAAGAAUUUGAGCGAAUCAACUCACUUAAUUGGAAUCCAACACUUACAGAGAAAGAUGAUGCCUUCUCUUUCCUUAUUGGCUCGAAUGAGCUUGAAGGAGGUUUUUUAUGUCUUGAAGAGAUCGAUGAAUCAGAGUACAAUUUGGGUAUUGCCAAAUCAUCUGGUGGAAGUGAAGAAAAGGGGAAGACAAAACCGAAGAAACAGAAAGUAGAUACAAAAAAUGAGGAAUUGAAUGGUGAAGCUAAGGGUGAGAGCAAAGAGGAGAUUGAAGAGGUGGAAAAGGAAACGAAACAAAAGAAGAAAA